UGAACGCUGGCGGCGGCCUACACAUGCAAGUCGAACGGUAACAUUUCUAGCUUGCUAGAAGAUGACGAGUGGCGGACGGGUGAGUAAUGCUUGGGAACUUGCCUUUGCGAGGGGGAUAACAGUUGGAAACGACUGCUAAUACCGCAUAAUGUCUUCGGACCAAACGGGGCUUCGGCUCCGGCGCAAAGAGAGGCCCAAGUGAGAUUAGCUAGUUGGUAAGGUAACGGCUUACCAAGGCGACGAUCUCUAGCUGUUCUGAGAGGAAGAUCAGCCACACUGGGACUGAGACACGGCCCAGACUCCUACGGGAGGCAGCAGUGGGGAAUAUUGCACAAUGGGGGAAACCCUGAUGCAGCCAUGCCGCGUGUGUGAAGAAGGCCUUCGGGUUGUAAAGCACUUUCAGUUGUGAGGAAAAGUUAGUAGUUAAUACCUGCUAGCCGUGACGU
rnacentral:rRNA from 1 species